rnacentral:pre_miRNA from 1 species
UCUUACGGAUGAACCAAGAAAGUGGUUUCUUCAGAUGGAAGGUACUCCCGGUGAAGAUGUUGUGAA